rnacentral:tRNA from 1 species
ACAGGGAUGCCCGAGUGGUUCAAUAGGUAGCAUUGGAACUGCUAUGUAGGCUUUUUUUUAACUGAGGGUUUGAGUCCCUCUCUUUCUG